ensembl:snRNA U6 U6 spliceosomal RNA
GCGCUCAGCUUGGCAGCUCAUAUACAAAAACUGGAACAAUGCAGAGAUCAGCACAGCCCCCAUACAAGGACAACUUGCAGAUUUGUGAAGGCUUCCAUAUUUUU